AGCUUCCUAUGCUGUGCGCCGGCGCAGCCCGGGGAACCGUCUCACUGGGAGGUGCUGCUUCCACACCGGAGGAUAAGGGAACUCGGCGACUUCGGGUGACAAACGCAAUUACGAAGGUCGCCACAUCUCGCUGCCGGUGCCCGCACCCCAGGACAACCCCACAUGGGACCCCGCGGAUCCUCCCCGCGUGGGGACGGCGGCCUCGCUCACCAUGGCGCGGAUUCCAAGUUCGCCUCACUCUCCGCUCAACUACCGGCAGAUGGUCAAUAGUGCUUUCCUCAGAUUCACAACAAAGCGGGUAAUAUGGCGGACAGGAAGUGCCCGCCCACUAUGACUGAAGGCUCGUCUCGAAGUUCUGAUUGGCUACUGAGGCCUGAGUGACAGGAGCAGUGUCCCUAAGAGACAUCGUGUUUCCCAUCUCCGGCUUCCACUACAGGCCAAGAGCGGGCCUAGAUCAUAAGGCAGGCUUUGCUGUAGAACUUGUUCCUGGACUGCAAAGUGGUCCCUGCACUUUUCCUGCACUCAGUAGGCACGUCCCCGUCUUCCUCCUGGGCAGAGAGUGUUAUGUCUCAAACCCAGAAACAAAUAAAUUUGGCGCCUAUUUAUC
rnacentral:lncRNA from 1 species